rnacentral:rRNA from 1 species
UCGGAGGCUAGACAUGCAGUCGAACGGUAACAGAAAGCAGCUUGCUGCUUUGCUGACGAGUGGCGGACGGGUGAGUAAUGUCUGGGAAACUGCCCGAUGGAGGGGGAUAACUACUGGAAACGGUAGCUAAUACCGCAUAACGUCGCAAGACCAAAGAGGGGGACCUUAGGGCCUCUUGCCAUCGGAUGUGCCCAGAUGGGAUUAGCUAGUAGGUGGGGUAACGGCUCACCUAGGCGACGAUCCCUAGCUGGUCUGAGAGGAUGACCAGCCACACUGGAACUGAGACACGGUCCAGACUCCUACGGGAGGCAGCAGUGGGGAAUAUUGCACAAUGGGCGCAAGCCUGAUGCAGCCAUGCCGCGUGUAUGAAGAAGGCCUUCGGGUUGUAAAGUACUUUCAGCGGGGAGGAAGGGAGUAAAGUUAAUACCUUUGCUCAUUGACGUUACCCGCAGAAGAAGCACCGGCUAACUCCGUGCCAGCAGCCGCGGUAAUACGGAGGGUGCAAGCGUUAAUCGGAAUUACUGGGCGUAAAGCGCACGCAGGCGGUUUGUUAAGUCAGAUGUGAAAUCCCCGGGCUCAACCUGGGAACUGCAUCUGAUA